AAAAACUCCGGUGGUAUGAGAUGGACCCGCGUCUGAUUAGCUAGUUGGUGAGGUAACGGCCCACCAAGGCGACGAUCAGUAGCCGGCCUGAGAGGGCGACCGGCCACAUUGGGACUGAGACACGGCCCAAACUCCUACGGGAGGCAGCAGUGGGGAAUAUUGCACAAUGGGGGAAACCCUGAUGCAGCGACGCCGCGUGAGUGAAGAAGUAUUUCGGUAUGUAAAGCUCUAUCAGCAGGGAAGAAGAAAGACGGUACCUGACUAAGAAGCCCCGGCUAACUACGUGCCAGCAGCCGCGGUAAUACGUAGGGGGCAAGCGUUAUCCGGAUUUACUGGGUGUAAAGGGAGCGUAGACGGCCGUGCAAGUCUGAAGUGAAAGCCCAGGGCUCAACCCUGGGACUGCUUUGGAAACUGUGGAGCUAGAGUGCUGGAGAGGUAAGUGGAAUUCCUAGUGUAGCGGUGAAAUGCGUAGAUAUUAGGAGGAACACCAGUGGCGAAGGCGGCUUACUGGACAGUAACUGACGUUGAGGCUCGAAAGCGUGGGGAGCAAACAGGAUUAGAUACCCUGGUAGUCCACGCGGUAAACGAUGAAUACUAGGUGUUGGAGAGCAAAGCUUUUCG
rnacentral:rRNA from 1 species